UACGGAGGGUGCAAGCGUUGCUCGGAAUUAUUGGGCGUAAAGGGUAGGUAGGUGGUCUCAUUUGUCUGGGGUGAAAGCCUUGAGCUUAACUCAAGAAGUGCCUCAGAAACGGUGAGACUAGAGUUCUGGAGAGGGUCGUGGAAUUCCCGGUGUAGCGGUGAAAUGCGUAGAGAUCGGGAGGAACACCAGAGGCGAAGGCGGCGACCUGGGACAGAUACUGACACUCAACUACGAAAGCGUGGGGAGCAAACAGGG
rnacentral:rRNA from 1 species